AAAUUUCAUUCCAAAUAAUCACGAAAUACUUUUCUGUCUUCAAUCAACCAAUUCAGGAUAUUUCAAUCGAAUCUUAGAACUUUUCUGGUUCCCAAAACACAGGCUCUUUGUUGCUGGUUGUCCACUUAAAAAGUUUAUUCAGGUCAUCGAUCCUUUCCAACCACCUAUCAACUUUGCACCAAAACACCCCCCGCCCCACAAAAAAAAAAAAACCAAAAAAAAGGAAAAAAAAAACCUUUUAGCAUCAUCACUACCACUGUACUACCACCCAUGUCAAAGGUAGGAGAAAAUAAUUCUGCAUGGUCUUUGUCGGGAAAAACAGCUCUAGUUACCGGUGGAAGUCGAGGAAUUGGCCGUGCAAUUGUGGUGGAGCUAGCUCAACUUGGUGCCACAGUCCACACCUUUUCGAGAAAAGAAGCAGAUCUGAAUGAAUGCUCGCAAGAAUGGUCCUCCAAGGGAUUCAAAGUGACUGGUUCAGUCUGCGAUGCAUCUUCAAGAGAGCAAAGAACACAGCUCAUCGAAAAGGUCUCUUCCAUCUUCAAUGGGAAGCUCAACAUCCUUGUAAACAACGUUGGAACAACCAAAAUGAAGCCAGCUGAAGAGUUUACCUCGGAAGAAUAUGACAUGAUCAUGUCUACAAAUCUUGAAUCUUCUUUCCACUUUUCCCAACUCGCUUAUCCUCUCCUAAAAGCCACUGGGAUUGGAAACAUCGUCUUCAUUUCUUCUAUUGCUGGCUUGGUCAGUGUAGAAGGUGCAUCUGUUUAUGCAGCAACAAAAGGUGCAAUGAAUCAACUCACCAGGAAUUUGGCUUGUGAAUGGGCUAAAGAUAACAUUCGCGUAAAUUGCCUUGCACCUGGGGCUAUUAAAACCCCAUUAACGGAAUCUGUGCAGGAUUAUGAUGAAAAAUUGAAGAAAUUGGAUGCAAGAACCCCAAUGAAUCGAGCUGGAGAACCAGAAGAAGUUUCAUCCCUGGUUGCUUUCCUUUGUCUGCCAGCCGCUUCCUACAUAACCGGACAGGUUAUAGCUGUCGAUGGAGGACUGACUGCAAAUGGAAUCCAGUGGAAUUAGUCAUUAAAGGCUCUAUCUUGCUACUGAUGCAAUAGUUCACCAAGAUCUAGUGUUUAAUCUAUACGUAUUUUGUUGUAAAAGGAAGGUAGCAUCUAAACGGCGGAGUGCUUGUCAUGAAAAGCAUACACCUGGAAGGGCAAUUGCUGAUCUCCCGGUCUGACUUCCACCUACAGAGAUCAUGGCAGCUGCAUUGUUAUUAGAGGUGGCAAAAUGGGUGAUUUGGACCGGUUUGGGUUAGGUAAAAUGAGUAAUGGGUAUAAGUGAGUCAACUCAUUUAUAUCCAUUUAAUUAGAUUAAAUGAAUAUAAA